rnacentral:tRNA from 1 species
UCCCUGGUGGCUCAGACGGUAAAGCAUCUGCCUGCAAUGUGGGAGACCUGGGUUCAAUUCCUAGGUUGGGAA